GAUGAACGCUGGCGGCGUGCUUAACACAUGCAAGUCGAACGGUGAACACGGAGCUUGCUCUGUGGGAUCAGUGGCGAACGGGUGAGUAACACGUGAGCAACCUGCCCCUGACUCUGGGAUAAGCGCUGGAAACGGCGUCUAAUACUGGAUACGAGUAGCGGCCGCAUGGUCAGUUACUGGAAAGAUUUUUUGGUUGGGGAUGGGCUCGCGGCCUAUCAGCUUGUUGGUGAGGUAAUGGCUCACCAAGGCGUCGACGGGUAGCCGGCCUGAGAGGGUGACCGGCCACUGGGACUGAGACACGGCCCAGACUCCUACGGGAGGCAGCAGUGGGGAAUAUUGCACAAUGGGCGAAAGCCUGAUGCAGCAACGCCGCGUGAGGGAUGACGGCCUUCGGGUUGUAAACCUCUUUUAGCAGGGAAGAAGCGAAAGUGACGGUACCUGCAGAAAAAGCGCCGGCUAACUACGUGCCAGCAGCCGUAGUAA
rnacentral:rRNA from 1 species